GAGUUUGAUCAUGGCUCAGAAUGAACGCUGGCGGCAGGCCUAACACAUGCAAGUCGAACGGAGUUAUAUUGUAGCUUGCUAUGGUAUAACUUAGUGGCAGACGGGUGAGUAAUGUAUAGGAAUCUACCUAGUAGUACGGAAUAAUUGUUGGAAACGGCAACUAAUACCGUAUACGCCCUACGGGGGAAAAAUUUAUUGCUAUUAGAUGAGCCUAUAUUAGAUUAGUUAGUUGGUGAGGUAAAGGCUUACCAAGACAAUGAUCUAUAGCUGAUCUGAGAGGAUGAUCAGCCACACUGGAACUGAGAUACGGUCCAGACUCCUACGGGAGGCAGCAGUGGGGAAUAUUGGACAAUGGGCGAAAGCCUGAUCCAGCCAUGCCGCAUGAGUGAAGAAGGCCUUCGGGUUGUAAAGCUCUUUUAGUGAGGAAGAUAAUGACGGUACUCACAGAAGAAGUCCUGGCUAACUCCGUGCCAGCAGCCGCGGUAAUACGGAGAGGGCUAGCGUUAUUCGGAAUCAUUGGGCGUAAAGGGCGCGUAGGCGGGUUAGUAAGUUAAAAGUGAAAUCCCAAGGCUCAACCUUGGAACUGCUUUUAAAACUGCUAGUCUAGAGAUUGAAAGAGGAUAGAGGAAUUCCUAGUGUAGAGAUGAAAUUCGUAAAUAUUAGAGGAACACCAGUGGC
rnacentral:rRNA from 2 species